rnacentral:rRNA from 1 species
UGCAAGUCGAGCGGUAACAGGUCUAGCUUGCUAGACGCUGACGAGCGGCGGACGGGUGAGUAAUGCAUAGGAAUCUGCCCGAUAGUGGGGGAUAACCUGGGGAAACCCAGGCUAAUACCGCAUACGUCCUACGGGAGAAAGGGGGCUUCGGCUCGCGCUAUCGGAUGAGCCUAUGUCGGAUUAGCUAGUUGGUGGGGUAAUGGCCCACCAAGGCGACGAUCCGUAGCUGGUCUGAGAGGAUGAUCAGCCACAUCGGGACUGAGACACGGCCCGAACUCCUACGGGAGGCAGCAGUGGGGAAUAUUGGACAAUGGGGGCAACCCUGAUCCAGCCAUGCCGCGUGUGUGAAGAAGGCCUUCGGGUUGUAAAGCACUUUCAGCGAGGAAGAACGCCUGGCGGUUAAUACCCGCCAGGAAAGACAUCACUCGCAGAAGAAGCACCGGCUAACUCCGUGCCAGCAGCCGCGGUAAUACGGAGGGUGCAAGCGUUAAUCGGAAUUACUGGGCGUAAAGCGCGCGUAGGUGGCUUGAUAAGCCGGUUGUGAAAGCCCCGGGCUCAACCUGGGAACGGCAUCCGGAACUGUCAAGCUAGAGUACAGGAGAGGAAGGUAGAAUUCCCGGUGUAGCGGUGAAAUGCGUAGAGAUCGGGAGGAAUACCAGUGGCGAAGGCGGCCUUCUGGACUGAUACUGACACUGAGGUGCGAAAGCGUGGGUAGCAAACAGGAUUAGAUACCCUGGUAGUCCACGCCGUAAACGAUGUCGACCAGCCGUUGGGUGCCUAGCGCACUUUGUGGCGAAGUUAACGCGAUAAGUCGACCGCCUGGGGAGUACGGCCGCAAGGUUAAAACUCAAAUGAAUUGACGGGGGCCCGCACAAGCGGUGGAGCAUGUGGUUUAAUUCGAUGCAACGCGAAGAACCUUACCUACCCUUGACAUCUACAGAACCCGGAAGAGAUUCCGGGGUGCCUUCGGGAACUGUAAGACAGGUGCUGCAUGGCUGUCGUCAGCUCGUGUUGUGAAAUGUUGGGUUAAGUCCCGUAACGAGCGCAACCCUUGUCCUUAUUUGCCAGCACGUAAUGGUGGGAACUCUAAGGAGACUGCCGGUGACAAACCG